CGCGGCCUAUCAGCUUGUUGGUAAGGUAACGGCUUACCAAGGCUAAGACGGGUAGCUGGUCUGAGAGGAUGAUCAGCCACACUGGGAUUGAGACACGGCCCAGACUCCUACGGGAGGCAGCAGUGGGGAAUAUUGGACAAUGGGGGCAACCCUGAUCCAGCCACGCCGCGUGAGUGAUGAAGGCUUUCGGAUCGUAAAACUCUGUCCUGAGGGAAGAAUGUCCUGGAUUCAAAUAGGGUCUAGGCUUGACGGUACCUCUGGAGGAAGCACCGGCUAACUCCGUGCCAGCAGCCGCGGUAAAACGGAGGGUGCUAACGUUGCUCGGAAUUACUGGGCGUAAAGCGCAUGCAGGCGGUUUGUUAAGUUUCGUGUGAAAGCCCUGGGCUCAACCCAGGAAGUGCACGGAAAACUGGCAGACUAGAGUACUGGAGAAGUGGGCGGAAUUCCGGGUGUAGAGGUGAAAUUCGUAGAGAUCCGGAGGAACACCAGUAGCGAAAGCGGUCCACUAGACAGAUACUGACGCUCAGAUGCGAAAGCGUGGGUAGCAAACAGGAUUAGAUACCCUGGUAGUCCACGCCGUAAACGAUGGGCACUAGGUGUCGGGGGUUUGACCCCUUCGGCGCCGUAGCUAACGCGUUAAGUGCCCCGCCUGGGGAGUACGG
rnacentral:rRNA from 1 species